rnacentral:ncRNA from 7 species
UGCCCAGUGCUCUGAAUGUCAAAG